AGAGUUUGAUCAUGGCUCAGAUUGAACGCUGGCGGCAGGCUUAACACAUGCAAGUCGAGCGGAGAGAGGUAGCUUGCUACUGAUCUUAGCGGCGGACGGGUGAGUAAUGCUUAGGAAUCUGCCUAUUAGUGGGGGACAACAUUUCGAAAGGAAUGCUAAUACCGCAUACGUCCUACGGGAGAAAGCAGGGGAUCUUCGGACCUUGCGCUAAUAGAUGAGCCUAAGUCGGAUUAGCUAGUUGGUGGGGUAAAGGCCUACCAAGGCGACGAUCUGUAGCGGGUCUGAGAGGAUGAUCCGCCACACUGGGACUGAGACACGGCCCAGACUCCUACGGGAGGCAGCAGUGGGGAAUAUUGGACAAUGGGCGGAAGCCUGAUCCAGCCAUGCCGCGUGUGUGAAGAAGGCCUUAUGGUUGUAAAGCACUUUAAGCGAGGAGGAGGCUACUUUAGUUAAUACCUAGAGAUAGUGGACGUUACUCGCAGAAUAAGCACCGGCUAACUCUGUGCCAGCAGCCGCGGUAAUACAGAGGGUGCAAGCGUUAAUCGGAUUUACUGGGCGUAAAGCGCGCGUAGGCGGCUAAUUAAGUCAAAUGUGAAAUCCCCGAGCUUAACUUGGGAAUUGCAUUCGAUACUGGUUAGCUAGAGUGUGGGAGAGGAUGGUAGAAUUCCAGGUGUAGCGGUGAAAUGCGUAGAGAUCUGGAGGAAUACCGAUGGCGAAGGCAGCCAUCUGGCCUAACACUGACGCUGAGGUGCGAAAGCAUGGGGAGCAAACAGGAUUAGAUACCCUGGUAGUCCAUGCCGUAAACGAUGUCUACUAGCCGUUGGGGCCUUUGAGGCUUUAGUGGCGCAGCUAACGCGAUAAGUAGACCGCCUGGGGAGUACGGUCGCAAGACUAAAACUCAAAUGAAUUGACGGGGGCCCGCACAAGCGGUGGAGCAUGUGGUUUAAUUCGAUGCAACGCGAAG
rnacentral:rRNA from 1 species